UAUUGCACUUUUUCUUCAUCCUAGCGAAAACUGUUUGAAACAAAAGUUGUAUCUCUAAUCAUCAGCUACUCUUUAACAGCAUCUCCUCAAUAAUAAUAAUACACUAAAUCUAUAAUCGAUGGAUCUUUUGCAAAAAUCCUCAUCAAUUGAUAUCAAAAGUACCUCUCGUCGUUCAACUACUAAAAUCAUGGAUCCCUCAUUGAUUUAAAUAUCCGAUACACAGUAAAUAUUUUCUAAAUCAAAAAUCGUUUCUGAAAAACUACUGCAACUCUCAACAAAAAUCUCAUAACUUGCAUAUAAGUAACAGUAAUUGUCCGGAGGGUAUAAAGAGCGGUUCGUUACUGAGAUUGCUUACUAAUUAACUGUAAAACAGAUGGAAAUAAGGACGGGUCGGGGUAGCUUAAAAAAAAAAUUAACGAGCAUGAACGUAGACAAGAAUAAAUAGCGGUGGGCUCGUUAGAAAUUUGUGGAAAAGUGCUGCGGGUGAAUUGGAACGGAUGAAAGGAGCCCGUAGACCGCGAAUCGUUCCUGAAGAGAUUGAAAAAAGAGAACAUAAAUAAACAUGCAUAAAGAAGCGAACUCAGGGAGGAGGAGAGCGGUUGGAUUAAAUGCCAAAGAGAGGCGAGCGGGGGAGAAGAGUUUAAGGAAUCGUUCUUCCGUCGAAGAAAUUUUUCCCUGUGAUCGUCUCGACCUCUUUCACCGCAGGAUAUCCUCAAUUGUAACCGAGUUAGUCGGGGGGGCACCGGUCGGGCAAUUGUUUAUCGCGUCUCGAGCCAUUGGUUUGCUUAAUUGCGCGUUCAUUUCACGGUGAAACUUUUAUGUAAUAUCUCAGCUCAGGCUGUGAUUAAUCAAUAGCUCAAGCAAGUUGAAGGAAAUUCUCAUCUUAAAACGUCCGAGUUCUAAUGGCUCGAAGGACAGAGAGGGACAAUAACAGGAUGAUGAUUAUGACGUUCAAACGAUAAUCCGCUACGCUUGCUUCCUGUUUGGUCAAAGGAGGCCGAGUGAUCUUGAUCGUGAAUGCUACUUCCAGUCGAUUACGACACAGCAGUGGACUUGUAACGAUGAUAGAACAACGUGUGAGCUAACGCGAUGAGGAACAAAGACGAGGAGGAGGAAACAGAGACACUGGGCUAGGGACCCACGGAGAGGGUGAUGAAAGGGAAGGUCGGGGGAGGUUACGGACAGAGAGGGGUUGCUUGUACGAGCGGAAAGAUGAAAGCGCCUAGUCCCGGAUGCAACUUGCCGUUGAAGAGCUGCAACUAGAUUCCAAACGGAUUUUUCGAGAACAGAACAAACAGCGUCGGCGUCGAGUCAAAAUCGGAUUCACGGACCUUUAUAAACGCUGUGAAUGCCCUUUCAGCCAGCGGAGAGCCAAUUAAAUACUGAUGGGAGAUCGAGCAGGAACAAGUGCCGGGAGAUCCGUGGAAAAUGUUGCACCGAGCGAUCAUCCAGGGAUGAGUGGAGAGAGAAAUGAAACCGAGAAAUUCGAGAGGUAUCUAACGUUAAUUCGGCGUGAACCUCCGUCCUAGAGAUCUUCCUUGAAACGUCGGGCGACUGCAGAUCAUUGUCAACGAUGCUAUUCAAAUUUGUCUUCUGCCUCUUGUCCGCUUUGCCGCAGCGCCUGGACGACUUCUUGUUCCGACUCUUCUGAAAACACUUCUGACACUUCUUAUCACCGCACUGGACGCAUUAUCGGAUAGAUGCACGAUAACCAAAUAGACAGAUUUUUAUGACACACUGUAUCUUGGAAUCCUCCGACUCGUGACAUCGAUACGACACAGAAAGUUUGUUCGUCUUUAUGCGAGACGGUUCGACGACGAGCAAUGAUCAAUGAAGGGCCAUAUAAAAAAUUGAUGCAGCUUUGGAGAGACAAAAGCGAGAAUAGAACAACCGUCUCGUAAUGGACUGGUUUUUAGGUAUCUAACGUUAAUUCGGCGUGAACCUCCGUCCUAGAGAUCUUCCUUGAAACGUCGGGCGACUGCAGAUCAUUGUCAACGAUGCUAUUCAAAUUUGUCUUCUGCCUCUUGUCCGCUUUGCCGCAGCGCCUGGACGACUUCUUGUUCCGACUCUUCUGAAAACACUUCUGACACUUCUUAUCACCGCACUGGACGCAUUAUCGGAUAGAUGCACGAUAACCAAAUAGACAGAUUUUUAUGACACACUGUAUCUUGGAAUCCUCCGACUCGUGACAUCGAUACGACACAGAAAGUUUGUUCGUCUUUAUGCGAGACGGUUCGACGACGAGCAAUGAUCAAUGAAGGGCCAUAUAAAAAAUUGAUGCAGCUUUGGAGAGACAAAAGCGAGAAUAGAACAACCGUCUCGUAAUGGACUGGUUUUUAGUUUCAGAAUCAGUCCUUGGGAGUGAAGUACAGUUGCCUGGUGAGCGUAGACGUGAACGUGGGGAUUUGCUUCUUCUUGUCCAAC